GCAAGUCGAGCGCACCUUCGGGUGAGCGGCGGACGGGUUAGUAACGCGUGGGAAUGUACCCAGAUCUACGGAAUAGCCUCGGGAAACUGAGAGUAAUACCGUAUACGCCCUUCGGGGGAAAGAUUUAUCGGAGAAGGAUUAGCCCGCGUAAGAUUAGAUAGUUGGUGGGGUAAUGGCCUACCAAGUCUACGAUCUUUAGCUGGUUUUAGAGGAUGAUC
rnacentral:rRNA from 1 species